UCACCCCUCAAGCCUCGUGCUUGGUGUUGGACGGCCGGUCGAGCGAUCGACCCCUCCGAAAGACAAUGACGGCGGCCUGUGGUCCCCCCGGUACACUGAGCUUCUCACCGAGCACGUAUCGGACAAGGGUGCCCGGGACCCGGUCUUCUCCUUUCACCAGGAAACUUUUCAA
rnacentral:misc_RNA from 1 species